CCUACGGGCGGCAGCAGUGAGGCAUAUUGGUCAAUGGCCGUAAGGCUGAACCAGCCAAGUCGCGUGAAGGAAGAAGGAUCUAUGGUUUGUAAACUUCUUUUAUAGGGGAAUAAAGGUAUCCACGUGUGGAUAUUUGCAUGUACCCUAUGAAUAAGCAUCGGCGAACUCCGUGCCAGCAGCCGAGGUAAUACGGAGGAUGCGAGCGUUAUCAGGAUUCGUUGGUUUUAAAGGGUGCGCAGGCGGGCCUUUAAUCCGGCGGUGAAAUCGCGGGGCUCAACACCGCAGAGCCGGCGGAACUGGGGGCCUGGAGGGCGGCGGAGGCAUGCAGAAUGCGCGGUGUAGCGGUGAAAUGCAUAGAUAUCGCGCAGAACCCCGAUUGCGAAGGCAGCGGGCCGUGCCGCCACUGACGCUGAGGCACGAAAGCGCGGGGAUCGAACAGGAUUAGAUACCCCAGUAGUC
rnacentral:rRNA from 1 species